GUCGAACGAUGAACCUCCUUCGGGAGGGGAUUAGUGGCGAACGGGUGAGUAACACGUGGGCAAUCUGCCCUUCACUCUGGGACAAGCCCUGGAAACGGGGUCUAAUACCGGAUACGACCUCCGACCGCAUGGUCUGGUGGUGGAAAGCUCCGGCGGUGAAGGAUGAGCCCGCGGCCUAUCAGCUUGUUGGUGGGGUGAUGGCCUACCAAGGCGACGACGGGUAGCCGGCCUGAGAGGGCGACCGGCCACACUGGGACUGAGACACGGCCCAGACUCCUACGGGAGGCAGCAGUGGGGAAUAUUGCACAAUGGGCGAAAGCCUGAUGCAGCGACGCCGCGUGAGGGAUGACGGCCUUCGGGUUGUAAACCUCUUUCAGCAGGGAAGAAGCGAGAGUGACGGUACCUGCAGAAGAAGCGCCGGCUAACUACGUGCCAGCAGCCGCGGUAAUACGUAGGGCGCAAGCGUUGUCCGGAAUUAUUGGGCGUAAAGAGCUCGUAGGCGGCUUGUCACGUCGGAUGUGAAAGCCCGGGGCUUAACCCCGGGUCUGCAUUCGAUACGGGCAGGCUAGAGUUCGGUAGGGGAGAUCGGAAUUCCUGGUGUAGCGGUGAAAUGCGCAGAUAUCAGGAGGAACACCGGUGGCGAAGGCGGAUCUCUGGGCCGAUACUGACGCUGAGGAGCGAAAGCGUGGGGAGCG
rnacentral:rRNA from 1 species